rnacentral:rRNA from 1 species
UGGGGAAUAUUGGACAAUGGGCGAAAGCCUGAUCCAGCAAUGCCGCGUGGAUGAAGAAGGUCUUCGGAUUGUAAAGUCCUUUCGGCGGGGACGAUGAUGACGGUACCCGCAGAAGAAGCCCCGGCUAACUUCGUGCCAGCAGCCGCGGUAAUACGAAGGGGGCUAGCGUUGCUCGGAAUGACUGGGCGUAAAGGGCGCGUAGGCGGUUCGACAAGUUAGAUGUGAAAUUCCUGGGCUUAACCUGGGGGCUGCAUUUGAUACUGUUGGGCUUGAGUAUGGAAGAGGGUCGUGGAAUUCCCAGUGUAGAGGUGAAAUUCGUAGAUAUUGGGAAGAACACCGGUGGCGAAGGCGGCGACCUGGUCCAUAACUGACGCUGAGUCGCGAAAGCGUGGGGAGCAAA